GCCUUUAACGAUUUUGAAAUCACCUCAUUUCUUCUAGUUGGUUUGGGAUUUGAAUAUGAUUCCUUUGUUACAUUUGUGACCACAAGGGUUGGUCCUUUCACCAUUGAUGAAUUAUAUGGGCAUCUGUUAGCUCAUGAAU